rnacentral:rRNA from 1 species
UACGUAGGUGGCGAGCGUUAUCCGGAAUUACUGGGCGUAAAGCGCACGCAGGCGGUCUGUUAAGUUUGACGUGAAAGCUCCCGGCUUAACUGGGAGAGGUCGUUGAAGACUGGCAGACUUGAGGCGAUGAGAGGGGUGUAGAAUUCCCGGUGUAGUGGUGGAAUGCGUAGAUAUCGAGAGGAACACCUGCGGCGAAGGCGGGUUGCUGGGCCGACACUGACGCUGAUGCGCGAAAGCCAGGGGAGCGAACGGG